GAUGAACGCUGGCGGCGUGCCUAAUACAUGCAAGUCGAGCGAACGGACGAGAAGCUUGCUUCUCUGAUGUUAGCGGCGGACGGGUGAGUAACACGUGGAUAACCUACCUAUAAGACUGGGAUAACUUCGGGAAACCGUAGCUAAUACCGGAUAAUAUUUUGAACCGCAUGGUUCAAAAGUGAAAGACGGUCUUGCUGUCACUUAUAGAUGGAUCCGCGCUGCAUUAGCUAGUUGGUAAGGUAACGGCUUACCAAGGCAACGAUGCAUAGCCGACCUGAGAGGUGGAUCGGCCACACUGGAACUGAGACACGGUCCAGACUCCUACGGGAGGCAGCAGUAGGGAAUCUUCCGCAAUGGGCGAAAGCCUGACGGAGCAACGCCGCGUGAGUGAUGAAGGUCGUCGGAUCGUAAAACUCUGUUAUUAGGGAAGAACAUAUGUGUAAGUAACUGUGCACAUCUUGACGGUACCUAAUCAGAAGGCCACGGCUAACUACGUG
rnacentral:rRNA from 1 species